CAGAGAUUGGCCAUUCUGCGACUGCGCAAAGAUGGUGGAAGAGGAGAACAUCCGCGUGGUUCGUUGUGGCGGCAGCGAGUUGAACUUUAGGAGAGCUGUGUUCUCUGCAGAUUCUAAGUAUAUCUUCUGUGUCUCUGGAGACUUUGUUAAAGUUUACAGCACAGUUACAGAGGAGUGUGUACACAUACUGCAUGGACACAGAAAUCUGGUGACUGGAAUCCAGCUUAACCCCAACAACCAUCUACAGCUGUAUUCUUGUUCCCUUGAUGGCACAAUUAAACUGUGGGACUAUAUAGAUGGCAUCUUAAUAAAGACUUUCAUAGUUGGAUGUAAACUUCAUGCCCUCUUUACUCUUGCCCAAGCUGAGGAUUCUGUCUUUGUUAUAGUGAAUAAAGAAAAACCAGAUAUAUUUCAGCUGGUUUCAGUGAAACUGCCAAAAUCAUCAAGCCAGGAAGUAGAAGCCAAGGAGCUGUCCUUCGUUUUGGAUUACAUAAACCAGUCACCCAAGUGCAUUGCCUUUGGAAACGAGGUAAAGUUUGUUUUGUUCGUUUUCUGUUUUGUACCUAAAAUUUAUUUCCUGCAAUCUCUCUUCUGAGCAUUUUAUGUUACAGUGAUUUUAUAUUCCCUUGAAUUACUAUAUUUGUGUUAGUAACUAAGAAGCCUCUUCAUUGCUUUAGCAUGUAUUUAUGGUAUAGAUUUUUUAGG
rnacentral:sRNA from 1 species